rnacentral:rRNA from 1 species
UACGUAGGGGGGCAAGCGUUGUCCGGAAUCAUUGGGCGUAAAGCGCGCGCAGGCGGUCAUUUAAGUCUGGUGUUUAAUCCCGGGGCUCAACCCCCGGAUCGCACUGGAAACUGGGUGACUUGAGUGCAGAAGAGGAGAGUGGAAUUCCACGUGUAGCGGUGAAAUGCGUAGAUAUGUGGAGGAACACCAGUGGCGAAGGCGACUCUCUGGGCUGUAACUGACGCUGAGGCGCGAAAGCGUGGGGAGCAAACAGG